GGUUAAGCGACUAAGCGUACACGGUGGAUGCCCUGGCAGUCAGAGGCGAUGAAGGACGUGCUAAUCUGCGAUAAGCGUCGGUAAGGUGAUAUGAACCGUUAUAACCGGCGAUUUCCGAAUGGGGAAACCCAGUGUGUUUCGACACACUAUCAUUAACUGAAUCCAUAGGUUAAUGAGGCGAACCGGGGAACUGAAACAUCUAAGUACCCCGAGGAAAAGAAAUCAACCGAGAUUCCCCCAGUAGCGGCGAGCGAACGGGGAGGAGCCCAGAGCCUGAAUCAGUGUGUGUGUUAGUGGAAGCGUCUGGAAAGGCGUGCGAUACAGGGUGACAGCCCGUACACAAAAAUGCACAUACUGUGAGCUCGAUGAGUAGGGCGGGACACGUGGUAUCCUGUCUGAAUAUGGGGACCAUCCUCCAAGGCUAAAUACUCCUGACUGACCGAUAGUGAACCAGUACCGUGAGGGAAAGGCGAAAAGAACCCCGGCGAGGGGAGUGAAAAAGAACCUGAAACCGUGUACGUACAAGCAGUGGGAGCCUCUUUAUGGGGUGACUGCGUACCUUUUGUAUAAUGGGUCAGCGACUUAUAUUCUGUAGCAAGGUUAACCGAAUAGGGGAGCCGAAGGGAAACCGAGUCUUAACUGGGCGUUAAGUUGCAGGGUAUAGACCCGAAACCCGGUGAUCUAGCCAUGGGCAGGUUGAAGGUUGGGUAACACUAACUGGAGGACCGAACCGACUAAUGUUGAAAAAUUAGCGGAUGACUUGUGGCUGGGGGUGAAAGGCCAAUCAAACCGGGAGAUAGCUGGUUCUCCCCGAAAGCUAUUUAGGUAGCGCCUCGUGAAUUCAUCUCCGGGGUAGAGCACUGUUUCGGCAAGGGGUCAUCCCGACUUACCAACCCGAUGCAAACUGCGAAUACCGGAGAAUGUUAUCACGGGAGACACACGGCGGGUGCUAACGUCCGUCGUGAAGAGGGAAACAACCCAGACCGCCAGCUAAGGUCCCAAAGUCAUGGUUAAGUGGGAAACGAUGUGGGAAGGCCCAGACAGCCAGGAUGUUGGCUUAGAAGCAGCCAUCAUUUAAAGAAAGCGUAAUAGCUCACUGGUCGAGUCGGCCUGCGCGGAAGAUGUAACGGGGCUAAACCAUGCACCGAAGCUGCGGCAGCGACACUAUGUGUUGUUGGGUAGGGGAGCGUUCUGUAAGCCUGCGAAGGUGUACUGUGAGGUAUGCUGGAGGUAUCAGAAGUGCGAAUGCUGACAUAAGUAACGAUAAAGCGGGUGAAAAGCCCGCUCGCCGGAAGACCAAGGGUUCCUGUCCAACGUUAAUCGGGGCAGGGUGAGUCGACCCCUAAGGCGAGGCCGAAAGGCGUAGUCGAUGGGAAACAGGUUAAUAUUCCUGUACUUGGUGUUACUGCGAAGGGGGACGGAGAAGGCUAUGUUGGUACGGGCGACGGUUGUCCCGGUUUAAGCGUGUAGGCUGGUUUUCCAGGCAAAUCCGGAAAAUCAAGGCUGAGGCGUGAUGACGAGGCACUACGGUGCUGAAGCAACAAAUGCCCUGCUUCCAGGAAAAGCCUCUAAGCAUCAGGUAACAUCAAAUCGUACCCCAAACCGACACAGGUGGUCAGGUAGAGAAUACCAAGGCGCUUGAGAGAACUCGGGUGAAGGAACUAGGCAAAAUGGUGCUGUAACUUCGGGAGAAGGCACGCUGAUACGUAGGUGAAGUCCCUUGCGGAUGGAGCUGAAAUCAGUCGAAGAUACCAGCUGGCUGCAACUGUUUAUUAAAAACACAGCACUGUGCAAACACGAAAGUGGACGUAUACGGUGUGACGCCUGCCCGGUGCCGGAAGGUUAAUUGAUGGGGUUAGCGGUAACGCGAAGCUCUUGAUCGAAGCCCCGGUAAACGGCGGUACGUAACUAUAACGGUCCUAAGGUAGCGAAAUUCCUUGUCGGGUAAGUUCCGACCUGCACGAAUGGCGUAAUGAUGGCGAGGCUGUCUCCACCCGAGACUCAGUGAAAUUGAACUCGCUGUGAAGAUGCAGUGUACCCGCGGCAAGACGGAAAGACCCCGUGAACCUUUACUAUAGCUUGACACUGAACAUUGAGCCUUGAUGUGUAGGAUAGGUGGGAGGCUUUGAAGUGUGGACGCCAGUCUGCAUGGAGCCGACCUUGAAAUACCACCCUUUAAUGUUUGAUGUUCUAACGUUGGCCCCUGAUCGGGGUUGCGGACAGUGUCUGGUGGGUAGUUUGACUGGGGCGGUCUCCUCCUAAAGAGUAACGGAGGAGCACGAAGGUUGGCUAAUCCUGGUCGGACAUCAGGAGGUUAGUGCAAUGGCAUAAGCCAGCUUGACUGCGAGCGUGACGGCGCGAGCAGGUGCGAAAGCAGGUCAUAGUGAUCCGGUGGUUCUGAAUGGAAGGGCCAUCGCUCAACGGAUAAAAGGUACUCCGGGGAUAACAGGCUGAUACCGCCCAAGAGUUCAUAUCGACGGCGGUGUUUGGCACCUCGAUGUCGGCUCAUCACAUCCUGGGGCUGAAGUAGGUCCCAAGGGUAUGGCUGUUCGCCAUUUAAAGUGGUACGCGAGCUGGGUUUAGAACGUCGUGAGACAGUUCGGUCCCUAUCUGCCGUGGGCGCUGGAGAACUGAGGGGGCUGCUCCUAGUACGAGAGGACCGGAGUGGACGCAUCACUGGUGUUCGGGUUGUCAUGCCAAUGGCACUGCCCGGUAGCUAAAUGCGGAAGAGAUAAGUGCUGAAAGCAUCUAAGCACGAAACUUGCCCCGAGAUGAGUUCUCCCUGACUCCUUGAGAGUCCUGAAGGAACGUUGAAGACGACGACGUUGAUAGGCCGGGUGUGUAAGCGCAGCGAUGCGUUGAGCUAACCGGUACUAAUGAACCGUGAGGCUUAACCUU
rnacentral:rRNA from 1 species